GGGCUGCAGUGCUUGUCUUCUGAACAUAUACAUUGCCCCUCCAGGGCACAGCCAUCGCCUUUCACAGCUUCUUUUCUUAAAAUUAAUAUCUCAUCUGACAAUUCACUAGAAAACAUGUUUUGAGGGUCUAAUAUCUUCUUUGCUGCAAGGAACUUGCUAAAAUUAGGAUACUUGCUCUGCACAUCCAAGAAUGCCAGGUUCCUAUUCUUAGCCCAAUGAGGUUUAGCCCCAUAUUUGAAGAAUGCCAUUUGCUCUACUUCUUCCCAAAUGUCUUGGUUUAAUCUUGGAGUUGAAGGAUCAUCAGCUCGAUAAUAGUUAAAAUCAAGAACCACAGAGUCCUCAGAUUGACCAAGAUAUGCUUGAGAAGCCUUGAUGAAUCGUAUCAGGAACCCAUUGUAGAU
rnacentral:misc_RNA from 1 species